rnacentral:rRNA from 1 species
AUCCGGGUACUAUUGUAGGACGUGAAAACACCCGAUCCCAUUCCGACCUCGAUCCGUGAAAUCGUCUUACGCCAUAUGUACUGAUUUAUUUUGGGAGACAUGGUUCAAGCCCGGAC